AGCUCCAAUAGCGUAUAUUAAAAUUGUUGCAGUUAAAAAGCUCGUAGUUGGAUUUCUGGUUUGGUGCGCGCGGUCCGCCGCCCUUCGUGGGUUCCGGUGUGUACCGUUGUGCGCCUGCCAUCUUCGCGGACGGGCGUGCGGGUCCUUCACUGGGCUCGUGCGAUUCCCCGCUCUGCGUCUUUUACUUUGAAAAAAUUAGAGUGUUCAAAGCAGGCUUGCGCUAUGAAUACAUUAGCAUGGAAUAAUAAUCUAGGACUUCUGUUCUAUUUUGUUGGUUUCUAGGGUGGAAGUAAUGAUUGAUAGGGAUAGUUGGGGGUGCUAGUAUUCAGCGGCCAGAGGUGAAAUUCUUGGAUUCGCUGAAGACUAACUUAUGCGAAAGCAUUCACCAAGGAUGUCUUCU
rnacentral:rRNA from 1 species